UUUUUUCACCCCCAUCUCCUUAGUACCCGCACCCCCCCAGCUCCAGCGUCUCGUGUUUGCAUCAUCCAGGUGAUCCGUACCCAAGUCGGACCCCACGACGUCGGAUGACGUGGCACCUUACUCCCGACUCGGAUCUCAGCGUGGAUCGACUAUGCCGUGGAGCCCACUCCACCGUUCAUCUCCACCGCCCCAACGGUCAUGCCUUCUCAACCCUCCGAUGAGCGUACGUCCAUCGUCCUCUCUGAAUCCCUCCCGAACACUCUCGGGCCCCGUCUUCCUUCUUCUCUCCGAGAGCUUUGGUCGGUGAACUCGAUCCCAGAAGCACGUGGUAGACGUCUCUUUGUUUGUUAGGUUUUCUCAAUUCCUUCGCUCCUCUUUAGGGUUUCGAAACGAAUCGUUACGGUUUAUGCAUGACUUGCUGUGGCUAAAUUGGUUAAUCUUUGAUCAUUUUGCUUUUGUUCAUGAUUUGAUUUGACUCUACAAGCAAUACAGUUUUAUCUGGUAAAAGAACCCGACUUGGCUGGAGUAUGCUGGGUCUUUCUGUGAUUUUAUGAAUUGCAGCGAAGUUUUGAGAAAGGAAGUUGGUGACUCUUACUGGGUUUCGUGAAUAAUUUGUAAUUUUCUUGUGAUUCUUGCAGAUAUACUAGCUAUUGUAUCAUGUUGGCUUUUGUAAUGUGAUCUAUUGCGUACUUAAUUGUUUGGGAUUUAGUUAGGAAAAAGAGAUGGCGAAUCUUUCUGGGCUAAAUACAGGAGUGGCGAAUCCAAACCCUAACAAGUCAUUCGAGGUGCUUCCAGCGCCUAGUGACUCUGUUUCCAGCCUUAGUUUCAGUCCCAAGGCUAAUUACUUGGUGGCCACUUCUUGGGAUAAUCAGGUCCGGUGUUGGGAAAUUCUGCCAGGUAGUAGUCAGCCAAAGGCAUCGAUAUCGCAUGACUUUCCGGUCCUAUGCUCGACAUGGAAGGAUGAUGGAACAACUGUGUUUUCAGGAGGCUGUGAUAAGCUGGUCAAGAUGUGGCCUUUGAUGUCUGGUGGCCAACCAACCCAAGUUGCUGCGCAUGAUGCACCCAUUAAAGAAAUGGCUUGGAUUCAACAGAUGAAUCUUCUUGUCACAGGGAGCUGGGACAAGACAUUAAGGUACUGGGAUACAAGACAAGCACAACCAGUUCAUACUCAACAGCUUCCUGAGCGCUGCUAUGCUCUAACAGUUCUGUAUCCUCUGAUGGUUGUUGGCACCGCAGAUCGACAUCUAAUAAUAUAUAACUUGCAAAGUCCUCAGACAGAGUUCAAGAGAAUCACAUCACCAUUGAAGUACCAGACAAGAUGCCUUGCUGCAUUUCCUGACCAACAAGGGUUUUUGGUGGGAUCCAUAGAGGGAAGGGUUGGUGUACACCAUCUGGAUGAUUCCCAGCAAAGCAAAAACUUCACAUUCAAAUGCCACAGGGAAGGCAAUGAGAUUUAUUCUGUGAAUUCAUUGAACUUUCAUCCUUUAGAUAUGGCUUGGGACAGGUACAUCAUACAUUUGCCACUGCAGGAUCUGAUGGUGCUUUCAAUUUUUGGGACAAGGACAGUAAACAAAGACUAAAGGCAAUGGCUAGGUGCCCUUAUCCUAUCCCGUGCAGCACUUUCAACAAUGAUGGAUCAAUUUUUGCAUAUGCGGUUUGCUAUGACUGGAGCAAGGGUGCUGAAAAUCAUAAUCCAGCUACAGCAAAGACGUAUAUCUAUCUUCAUAGCCCACUGGAAAGUGAGGUUAAAGGGAAGCCUCGUAUAGGAACUGGUGGUCGAAAGUAAACCCUCGGGCGAUCAAAAUGAAAGGGAUACAGAAUCGUUGCAUUGUUGCUUCAUCUGUGCAGGCUCUUGUUUUUCGUUUUUAGCCAUCGUGCAUGCCCGUAAUUCUGGUCUCCUGAUGUUGAACAUCAUCUUGUAAAUUUAACCAGUGUUCCAUAUAUAGGUAGGCGGUUUUGCAAUCCCGCUUAGUGGGCUGAUGCUCUUGCCUUUCUUCUGGAUCCUAAAUUUUUGGAGUGUUCAGUGAAGCACUGAGGUUUUAGUUAGCAAAAAAUGUACCGUGUCUUCCAGAGCUUGAUAUGUGAGAUACUGCUUAAUAUUGGUUCUGUAUCAAUUUAUUAUUAUCCUCGACUAUUGUCAGCUUCAAGCAUUUUGUUUCUCUGCAA